rnacentral:lncRNA from 1 species
CUCACUGACGAGGGCAAGGGAGGAGGGUGAAUCACACGCUGGAGUUUUCCACCAAGUACCUGCCCUCUGUGGCUUCUAGGCAAGGCCCUGGACCUUCACAACCCUUCUCCUUGGGAUUUUCCUAGAGAAAGCACCCAGAGCGUACCUCAAGAAGCAAUGUAGAGAGGACCCAGGAUUGGGACCAGACAGACCUGAGUUUCUUCUCCUCCUCUAUCAUGUAUCAGUCACGACAGCUAGGCAAGGGUCAGCCUUGGUUUCCCAGUCUGUCAAAGUCCCACCUGCGCUGUUAGAGCCUCACCCCCUCAGCCACCUCCCUCCAGUUUGAUGACCUCACACCACGUGUCACCAAGUGACGGAAAGGACCCUCACACCCAUUACCUCCUUUGAGCCCUACGACAAGCCCUGCUUGGAGAAGGAGUGCGUGGCGUUUUCUGCAACUGCGAAGCAAAGAACCUGAAUUCCAAGUGACUGCACAGACACGCAGCAAGUUCUGGAAGCACACCUCCGGGUUCUUACACCAAUAGGUGACUCUCACACCGUGUUCCACCAUCAGGAAGCUCCUCGAUGCGACUCAGAUCACAUCUGGGUCCCACAUUCCCGCUGAGGCCGGCAGUUCCGGCAACUUUGGUCAUACGGAUGGAGACAGCACGGCACCACGCGGGAGGUGUUCUGUCAACAGUGUCCGGUGGAUGGAGCUGCUGGCUUGCAGCAUCUCGAGUUCGGGCCUGCCUCUCCAGCAGAUGUAUUUCUCCCCCGGUAAGACUGAGAUUGAGCCCAGCACCCUCGGGGAAUGCCCGAGCAGCAUUCUCCAGGAAGGGGCAGCCAAGGCUGACAUACAGCAGGACUGCUGUCGUUAAUCUUCACCAACUCUUCCAACGACAAAAAGUCAAAAACUGAAGACAAGCAAAUAUUUCAGUGCAUUUUUUUCCACUAGUGGACAUGUGAAAAACUAAGAUCACCCAGGGAAGCCUGUGCACCCUUAGACUGCAGCCCUAAGAGUCACAGGACACACCAAGGGCAGCACCAGAAGACCCAUCUGAACAAAGCACAAAGGCGGAGGAAGGAAGCUGAGGACAUGUGGAGAGAGGCUGGGCAGCCUCCUCUGGUCCACAUGCCUGAUGAUGGAGGCUCUCAGCCUGGCCCCACCACCCGCCCCCAUCACCGUGCUGAGUGGGCCCCAGUGAGAACUCAAUGGGGGAGGCUAGGAUGGGGAGGGGCAGGGUCCUAAACCACAACAGUAACAUGGGGAAGGGUGAAGGCAGCCAGGCAGGGGGCAGAAAUCAGACAGAACCGCUAGCAGUCAGCGGGAAG